CGAAGCCUACGGGGGGCAGCAGUGAGGAAUAUUGGUCAAUGGGCGGAAGCCUGAACCAGCCAAGUCGCGUGAGGGAAUAAGGCCCUACGGGUCGUAAACCUCUUUUGCCGGGGAGCAAGGGCCGGGACGCGUCCCGGCCCGGAGAGUACCCGGAGAAAAAGCAUCGGCUAACUCCGUGCCAGCAGCCGCGGUAAUACGGAGGAUGCGAGCGUUAUCCGGAUUUAUUGGGCGUAAAGGGAACGCAGGCGGUCUUUUAAGUCUGAUGUGAAAGCCUUCGGCUUAACCGGAGUAGUGCAUUGGAAACU
rnacentral:rRNA from 1 species